rnacentral:rRNA from 1 species
UACGUAGGGUGCGAGCGUUAAUCGGAAUUACUGGGCGUAAAGCGUGCGCAGGCGGUUUUGUAAGACAGAUGUGAAAUCCCCGGGCUCAACCUGGGAACUGCGUUUGUGACUGCAAGACUCGAGUGCGGCAGAGGGGGGUGGAAUUCCACGUGUAGCAGUGAAAUGCGUAGAGAUGUGGAGGAACACCGAUGGCGAAGGCAGCCCCCUGGGCUAACACUGACGCUCAUGCACGAAAGCGUGGGGAGCAAACAGG